AUAUUGCGGAGUGCCGCGUUAAACAACAAAGGACAGGAUUGGGUGACCUUGACCACACUGGCUGAUUGCAACACAAAACUCAGCCCCAGAGCCACAGGAUGAAUGGACGACAAACAAGCAACGACGACGUGAUGCAAUAUGCCGUGCUUGAUUUGCACGUGCAUAUUUCACGUUCAGGUCGUACACUUGGUGACGUGUCAGUCGGAGAGCAACAAUGGAGGAGUCGACAGCUAAAUGAUUUGGACGAAGUUAAAGACGGAGACCAGUGAUAAUACGAGGGGGCAGUCGUGUGCGGACGAACCUGGAUCACUUAUUGGGCGAUGCAUGUCAUCGGAUUGUCUCGACCAUCUGUUUCAUCCUUGAUGUAAUAUUGUGUGAAAAUAAAGAACGGAAAUGUC